GACGAAUGCUGGCGGCGUGCCUAAUACAUGCAAGUUGAGCGAUGAAGAUUGGUGCUUGCACCAAUUUGAAGAGCAGCGAACGGGUGAGUAACGCGUGGGGAAUCUGCCUUUGAGCGGGGGACAACAUUUGGAAACGAAUGCUAAUACCGCAUAACAACUUUAAACAUAAGUUUUAAGUUUGAAAGAUGCAAUUGCAUCACUCAAAGAUGAUCCCGCGUUGUAUUAGCUAGUUGGUGAGGUAAAGGCUCACCAAGGCGAUGAUACAUAGCCGACCUGAGAGGGUGAUCGGCCACAUUGGGACUGAGACACGGCCCAAACUCCUACGGGAGGCAGCAGUAGGGAAUCUUCGGCAAUGGACGAAAGUCUGACCGAGCAACGCCGCGUGAGGGAAGAAGGGUUUCGGAUCGUAAAACUCUGUUGGUAGAGAAGAACGUUGGUGAGAGUGGAAAGCUCAUCAAGUGACGGUAACUACCCAGAAAGGGACGGCUAACUACGUG
rnacentral:rRNA from 1 species